GUUCCUCGUCCCAGUACGCCAGAGGAAUGCUGCGACGCUAAUUCCACUCUGCCGUCGCUAUAUUCGACCAGGUACAACGAUAUACACGGACGAGUGGGCGGCGUACCGCAAUUUGCGAGCGAAUGGUUUUCGCCAUGGAACGGUGAACCAUUCAAUGCAUUUCGUGGAUCCCGUGACGGGAGUUCACACGCAGAACGUGGAGGCUAUGUGGAGCCAAUGCAAGAGAAUACUGCGAAGGUCACCAACGACGUCCAGGGAGUUGCUACCUUCAUACAUGAAGGAGUGCAUGUGGAGGCUGCGGUAUGGGGGCCCGCACGCAUUCCACCACAUUGUGGAGCAUAUACGGGACGCCUACCCGUUAUGAUUGUACGUUUUCGGUGAAAUUCGGUUUAUGCGGGGGGCAUCCUACAUGUCUCAGAUGGUGUUGCGACCUAAAAAUCUUUUGGUUUAACGCAAGAUUCGGUUUUGAGCGCGUUUGGGAUUCAGAAUGUUGGCUGUAAUAUUAUGUACUGUCCAGCGUUAUAUGAGGUUAUCAUUGAACAUAAAAUGUAUGAAGCAUAUUUUUAAACAAAAAAACUAUCAUGACUACGUUAAAGAAGUGUGAAGUAUGUGCAAGCGAUGUGUUGUUAUUAUUGGUGACGUAUUAGUAUCGAUUACAUAUGUUUUAGUAAUAAAAGGCAUGUACAGCUAGUUCAAAAAA